ACAUUUCUUUUCCGUUUCGCAGUACUUUCUCUUCAUCCUCUACGCAAUUUCUUUUUGGUUCUUCUCUUCUAUUGUCAAAUUUCUUUUCCAAUCUCCCUCUCUUGUACUCCCUCUCCUGUUCUCCCUCCUUCCUUCUCCUUCAUUCUCCUUCAUUCAUUCUCCUGCCAUAGCUCUCGUUCGAUCGCUGCUUCCGCUGAUGGCACACUUUCAAUCUUCGAUUCUCGCGAUCCAUCUUCUUCUUCCUCCCUCCGCUCUACUUUCAAAUCUAGGGUUCUCGAAGGAAACAUCGUGAAGAUUGUUUGGGUUCCGCCAGAGUACGGUGAUGCAGUCGCAUGUAUUUCCGUCGAUGGAAUUGUGUCAUUGUGGGAGGAGGUUGCAUAAGGACUUAAUUGCAACUGGAGGUAUUGAUACAAAUGUCCUACGCUGAUUAGAGACGUAGAUCCUUGGAGUUUGAAGUUGGGGAUCAUGUCUUCCUCCGAGUGACUCCUACUACUCGGUGUGGGAAGAGUUAUUUGUGCUAGGAAGUUAUCUCCUAGGUACCUUGGUCCUUAUCAGAUUCUGAGACGUAUAGGAUAAGUUGCCUAUGAGAUAGCCAUGCCACUCCAGCUUGCAAACCUUCAUCCAGUGUUCCAAAUGCUGUUAUUUUUGACCGACCUUUCAAGACAGAUAUUAUCUACACUAAGUGGUCACUCCAAAAAGGUUUUAUUUCAGUUGGAAUUGCUGGAGUUAUCUUUUCUUUAAUUUUUUUUUCUGAUUGUGGGUGCUUUUGGUAGGUGACCAGUGUAAAGUUUGUAGCUUAGGGUGAAUCAUUCUUAACUGGUUCAGCAGAUAAGGUUGGAAGUGUUUUAUUUGGGGUCUUUUUGGAUGAAUAUAUUCAAAUAAUAGUGUAAGCACUUGCAUAUGAGUUGUUGUUUUUUUCAUCAAAAGGGUAAUAGGGUUACACUGUUUUUAUAUAAGUUUGUUGGUUGUUCUCAUAAGUUAUUAUGGCUAGAUUGUUGAAAUAAUAAGGUGAAAGAAAAAAGUCAAAUGGACAUAUCAUAUGCUGUCAAGAACACUUAGUCGACUUGUGAUAAGAAAAGUCCAAAUAAGUUGUUCCAAAUGGGCCUUGAUAACCCUCUCUGCCCAAGUUCUGACAUCAUAUAACAUCACAAGAAUGUUCCAUCCAUGCAUUGCUACAUUAUUUGUUCUCAUAAUGA